rnacentral:rRNA from 1 species
GUGAGGAAUAUUGCGCAAUGGAGGCAACUCUGACGCAGCCAUGCCGCGUGCAGGAAGAAGGCGCUACGCGUUGUAAACUGCUUUUAACCGGGAAGAAACCCCAGGACGUGUCCUGGGUUGACGGUACCGGAGGAAUAAGCACCGGCUAACUUCGUGCCAGCAGCCGCGGUAAUACGAAGGGUGCAAGCGUUAUCCGGAUUCAUUGGGUUUAAAGGGUGCGUAGGCGGAGCGUUAAGUCAGUGGUGAAAUCCUGCAGCUUAACUGUAGACUUGCCAUUGAUACUGUCGCUCUUGAGUGCGCUUGAAGUGGGCGGAAUGUGCCGUGUAGCGGUGAAAUGCUUAGAUAUGGCACAGAACACCAAUUGCGAAGGCAGCUCACUAAGGCGAUACUGACGCUGAGGCACGAAAGCGUGGGGAUCGAACAGGAUUAGAUACCCGAGUAGUCC